GCCCUUAUACAUGCAAGUCGAACGAGAAAGCUUCUUCGGAAGUGAGUAAAGUGGCGGACGGGUGAGUAACGCGUAGGAAUCUACCUUUCAGUGGGGGAUAGCUCGGGGAAACUCGAAUUAAUACCGCAUAUACCCUUAGGGGGAAAGGGGGCCUCUCCUUGGAAGCUCUCGCUGUUAGAUGAGCCUGCGUGAGAUUAGCUUGUUGGUAAGGUAAUGGCUUACCAAGGCUACGAUCUCUAGCUGGUCUGAGAGGACGAUCAGCCACACUGGGACUGAGACACGGCCCAGACUCCUACGGGAGGCAGCAGUAGGGAAUAUUGGACAAUGGGGGAAACCCUGAUCCAGGCAUGCCGCGUGUGUGAAGAAGGCCUUAGGGUUGUAAAGCACUUUAAGUGAGGAAGAAAAGAUUCAAAUUAAUACUUUGAAUCCCUGACAUUACUCACAGAAUAAGGACCGGCUAACUCCGUGCCAGCAGCCGCGGUAAUACGGAGGGUCCAAGCGUUAAUCGGAAUUACUGGGCGUAAAGCGCGCGUAGAUGGUUUAUCUAGUUGGGUGUGAAAUCCCUGGGCUCAACCCAGGAACUGCAUUCAAAACUUAUAAACUAGAGUACGAAAGAGGAGAGCAGAAUUCAUGGUGUAGCGGUGAAAUGCGUAGAUAUCAUGAGGAAUACCAGUGGCGAAGGCGGCUCUCUGGUUCGAGACUGACAUUGAGGUGCGAAAGCGUGGGUAGCAAACAGGAUUAGAUACCCUGGUAGUCCACGCCGUAAACGAUGAGAACUAGCCGUUGGAUCUUUAGAUUCAGUGGCGCAGCUAACGCAUUAAGUUCUCCGCCUGGGGAGUACGGCC
rnacentral:rRNA from 1 species